AUGGCUGCUUUCCGGAAUUGUUUGAUGGACUGUGGGCUGUCUGAUUUGGGUUUUUCGGGUCCGAAGUUCACUUGGUGUAACAGAGAAGACCCCAACAGCAAUGUCAGAUGUCGUCUAGACCGUGCAGUGGCUAACAGUGCCUUCACCAGUCUGUUUGAUGAGUGCAGCGUGGAGAAUGUCAUUGCCACUACUUCUGAUCAUUACCCAAUUUUGGUUUGCCUGGAUCGCGGUUCCCGACAGCGCCGCUCUACCCCGGUGCACAGGACCGGCCCUGGGCCAUGGCGGCGAGUGCGGCGGCCUAGGGCCCAGCCCGAGCAGGGGCCCAUACCCUGUGCAUGUAUAGUAUAUAUAGUAUAUUCAUAA
rnacentral:rRNA from 1 species